CCCGCUCCGGGCGCGCGGGGAGGGGGCGGCGGGACAGGCCGAGAGGGGACAGGGAACAGGUGACAAGGAACAGGGGACAGGGGUGGCUGCUCCUCCUAGAAGGCCACGGCUGGGACGUGUAAGCGCGGGGCAGGUCGCUGAGGUUGGCAGCUGGAGCAGGGGGACUCUUGGAGCAGUGGCUGCAGGGACAGGACUGAGAUGGUGUCUUCCUUCAGUACGGCAUGGAGCAUCAUCCAAAGUCAUAUUUAUGCCCGUUUUCUAGAAGCCGAGGAAAGGUCACUUGUCAAGGUCAUAUGGUAGGCUAGUGCUGAACGAGUCUGUCCAGUCCAAAUACAUUUUAAAUUCCGUCAUUCCCUGUAAAGCAAACAAGUGGAAAUUGUUGAUAUAGGAUAGAUGUUGGGGUCAUGCCAGCACUAUAAUUACCCUGUGACAGGGUGUUAGGAUUAGGGAUAUGGGAGAUGGCAGAAAGAGCUGGCAGCUGUGGAGGACAGGAGUGGAGGUGGGCCAGGCACUUCAGCAGUGGAUGAGGGAAAAGCAGCAAUCAAGAUAAGGCAGUGCAGUGUAUGAGACAAAGCAUGAUGGGUGCAUUCUUAGUUGUAGCACAGUAAAGUCUCAGGGCUGUCUUUUUUUUUUUUUAACCUUUGUUUUUGACUGCACUGUGAUUUGGGGAAGGGAGAUUGAUUUAUAACAGGCUAGUUUUCUUCAAACAAUCCAGUGGGAAAAAGACAGCAAAACCAUGCUGUAGCAUCUGUGUUUGAAACAGAAAAAUGAAGUCCAAGAUUAAAGACAAGUCUGAUUUUGUGAAGACAGAACCAAAUAACUGAUAGGUGGAACCUUUAGAACUGUUUAUCCGUAGUUUUAAUUCUCCUGACAGGGAAAAAGAUAUAACUGGCACAUCACUUCGUGGCUUUCAUCAGCUUAUGAGAUUGUACUGCUCUGAUAAAUAUAAUCAUAAUUUGCUUUUGCUAAUCUUUUUAAUAAGUGGAAAUUCAGUGUGGCUGUUGCUUACAGCACACAAUGUGCCAUAACUAAUCAAAGGGAGAAGAAAAGGUAUAAAAAAGGAAGUGGAGAAAGAGAGAAUAAAUAUAGGUCCAUUAGGAGUUACAUUUCAGGUAAUUAGUUGCAAAAGUAGAAAUAAUUGAGAGCACUUUGGAACUGCAAAGUGUAAAAAGUGGGGACAAGGGGUACUACAGGUGUUGCAAUGAAAAGAAUGUUUCUAUUUUUUAUAUUUUUGUGGGCAUGUUUAAUGGAAGAAGGAGACUGAAAGUAAAAUUAGAGAUUAAAAAGAUCCAUUAUCAUCUACAGGACCUACUAGAAUGAUAAAAUAAUAAAGUGAGCAAUGAUACCUUUUUCUGAUGUUCUAAUUAUGUAUAAUAACAUAAUAAUAAUAUAACUGUGUCAUUUAAACUGUAAGCCACUGGCAUAUUAUGUUUUCCUGAAUCCUUCUUCAUCUCCUGGAGAAAUCCCACUCUGACAGUCUCACAGGGAAUCAAUGCUAUGUGCCAGCUGCCUUUCUAGAUCUCUUUGGCACUGCCAAAUGGCUCAUGUAACAACUGAGCUGUACCCACUGCUCGUCGAGGACAUUAAUUUGACCCACCCUUCUCUGCAUGAGUGCCAGCUCUCAUUUGAGCUGCGUGGGUGUAGUUAUCCCUCAGGCUUUUUAACUCCUAUUUCAAAUUGCCUGAUGAGUUCAGAAGUUAUCAGGGACAGAUUCAUAGGCUAAGAUAAAAAUACAGAAAGCAGUUGUAUUCUGAAAUGAGGAUACAGCUAUUGUAUGGAUAUUUUGUGAGGUGUCUGCUGCUUACCAGAAAGUGUCCAUCCCAGACCUGUGGAAAGCAACAGGUGGAUGAGGAGUUGGGUGUGAAGUGCUCGGCCGCCGUGCUGUGCUCAGAGGAGGAGGAGGGAGGAAGUGCCAGCUCCUGCUUCGUUUCUGCAAACGUUGUCACACAGCUGAAGCAGACAGAACACCUCGCAGCCAUGUUAGGUAAGGGCAGCAGGAGCGCACUGUGUCCGUCCUUUUUCUGGGCGGGAAGUCCAUGAAAAUGUUAUGAUAGCCAUCAUAGCUGAGGGCAGAAAGAGCCCGCUCCAUAGCCAUCUUGGAUAAGGGAAAGGGAGCGGAGGGGACUGUCACAUUUGUCCUCUAAAGAGCUGGUGUCUGUUUCAAGAGGAUGAAAUGCAGCUGAGAUAGUUCAUGUGCAUACCUGAAAAACAUCUGGAUUUUGGCUUGAGUGUGUCAAAGUCUUGAUGACAUGAUGAAAAAUGAGAUUUUUUGCUGAAGGAAGCCUGUGGUGAAUUCUGCACUAACUGUAACUGACUCAGAAGGAAAAACACCAAGCAGUAUUAUAGGCAACUUAGAGCCAGAUUUCUGACUACUGUGCAAUGAUGAUCUAAAAGGCUUCCAGAAUAAUUAAUACAUAUCAGACUGAGUUUUCAGUGCAGAGGUAUGAGCCAGUUGCUUAGAUGCUGCUUCCAGAGAAAUUGUUAAUUUGAAAUGACUGAGGCAUGCUGCAUAGCAAAAGUUCAGUUUCUAGUGUAAAAAUUAAGGUACAAACUGAUAAUGAAAGCAGAAUAAACUGGUAAGGAGAAAGUUGGAGAUGCAUUUUUCUACUGAGUUCUCAUCCCUGAAACUCAUUCAUCAACAAUUUAUCCAAUCAGUUUUGUAGUGAUUUUCAGAAAUACAGCAAGUUCCAUGUAUAAUUGUCAUACCACAUUUAAAAUUUGACAGUCUAAGAAGGCAUUUAUUGCUGUAUAGAGCAGUAUGGAAAUGUAAAGCAAAGUUUGAACUGUUACUUACAUCCUUACGUAUCUUUUGUAAAACAAACUUGCCUCAAAAGUAGCUUCUGAAAGAUUCUGAACCAAGCUGUCAAAAAGUAAGGAACUGUUUCAGAGAUGUUUUCUUCAGUGUUAAAAAGAUGGAUUCAAAUUAUCAUCCCAGAUUUAGUGAAGGGAUGACACUUUUUUGUUUUAGUGCUAUUAUUGUUCUUUAGUUUCAGAGUUAUUUUCUGUUUGUGACCUUUUAACUCUCUGACUGGUUAUGUAAAGAACAACUGCAUUAUCUUUCAGCAUUAAUUUUGAAAGAAUAAGCAACUCUGCCAGUUUAAUUCUCUCUUGUCAGAUACAAAUAAAAUCUGCUUUAAACUGAAAUCUUGAGGCGGGGGAUGGAGAGGAAGGUGAGAUGAGCAGAUGAUAUUUAUGCAGUUCUUUGGUGUUACUCUGUGGAUGUGAGCAGUCUGCACAGUCACUCCCUGCUGAAGCUGAUGGAACCUGGCCAGCCAGCAGCCAACACAACAUUUGCUGGUACCUGAUAGAAAUCAUCCUGCACCGAGACGCAGGACAGAGCCAUGGAGAUCACAGCUGUAGGAGCAAGAUAGAGCAUGGAAGAAAGCAAGGCAGGCUCAAACACUGAACAGUUGUGGAUCUUUAGAACCCAGCUGUCCCAUGUAGGUAUUCUCAUUUUUAUUCCAGCAACUGACAACAUCACAGGGCACACUUUUUCUAGAAAUCUCUUAUGUCCAAACCCUUCCAGAUAUGAACAGAUGGCUGUAUUUCUGCAAAACAAGGCAGAGGUCCUGGAGAUUUGUAAAGGUAUACUCCAUAUACAGUACCCUAAUGUUUUAUGAGGCUUUACUACAAAUUGUAGCAAAAUGCUCUCAGUUAGGCUCCAAACUCUGAAGUCUGUCUUUUGUCCUGUAUUGAUACUUCCUGGAGAAGAAAGCAAUCUCAGAUGUUUCUAAAUGUUACAAUACAUGCAGAAAUAUUUUUCUUUCUCAACUGAAGAAGAUAAUCACAUUUUAUCAAAACUAAAAUAUAUUUAAAAUAGCUAAGUGAAAAUCUUUCUGAAGCAGUCUUUCCCUAGUUAUUGGGAAUAUAUCCAGUAGGUAAGAAUCCUUUCACCUGUACUUUUUUUAUCAGAGAUUGCGUGUCUAUUCUCUUAACUUUCUCCGGCCAAAAGAUUAUUUGUUAAGCAUUCAGUGGAAUUAAUUUACUGUUUAAUAAAAUGAGUGGAGCAUA